rnacentral:miRNA from 1 species
AGAGGGAAGAGGGAAGAGGG